GUGUCAGCAGCCGCGGUAAUACGAAGGGUGCAAGCGUUGCUCGGAAUUAUUGGGCGUAAAGGGUAGGUAGGUGGUCUCAUUUGUCUGGGGUGAAAUCCUUGAGCUUAACUCGAGAAGUGCCUCGGAAACGGUGAGACUAGAGUCCUGGAGAGGGUCGUGGAAUUCCCGGUGUAGCGGUGAAAUGCGUAGAGAUCGGGAGGAACACCAGAGGCGAAGGCGGCGACCUGGACAGGAACUGACACUCAACUACGAAAGCGUGGGGAGCAAACAGGAUUAGAAACCCUAGUAGUCC
rnacentral:rRNA from 1 species